rnacentral:rRNA from 1 species
ACCGGGAUGUUCAUAACCCUUUGUUGUCCGACUCUGUUGCCUCCGGGGCGACCCUGCCUUCGGGCGGGGGCUCCGGGUGGACACUUCAAACUCUUGCGUAACUUUGCAGUCUGAGUAAACUUAAUUAAUAAAUUAAAACUUUUAACAACGGAUCUCUUGGUUCUGGCAUCGAUGAAGAACGCAGCGAAAUGCGAUAAGUAAUGUGAAUUGCAGAAUUCAGUGAAUCAUCGAAUCUUUGAACGCACAUUGCGCCCCCUGGUAUUCCGGGGGGCAUGCCUGUUCGAGCGUCAUUUCACCACUCAAGCCUCGCUUGGUAUUGGGCAACGCGGUCCGCCGCGUGCCUCAAAUCGACCGGCUGGGUCUUCUGUCCCCUAAGCGUUGUGGAAACUAUUCGCUAAAGGGUGUUCGGGAGGCUACGCCGUAAAACAACCCCAUUUCUAAGGUUGACCUCGGAUCAGGUAGGGAUACCCGCUGAACUUAA